GACGAACGCUGGCGGCGUGCCUAAUACAUGCAAGUCGAACGAACCGCGACUGAGUGCUUGCACUUGGUCAAGGUGAGUGGCGAACGGGUGAGUAACACGUGGGUAACCUACCUCAUAGUGGGGGAUAACAGUCGGAAACGACUGCUAAUACCGCAUAGGACAUAGGAUCACAUGAUCCAGUGAGGAAAGGUGGCGCAAGCUAUCGCUAAGAGAUGGACCCGCGGUGCAUUAGCUAGUUGGUAGGGUAAAGGCCUACCAAGGCGAUGAUGCAUAGCCGACCUGAGAGGGUGAUCGGCCACAUUGGGACUGAGACACGGCCCAAACUCCUACGGGAGGCAGCAGUAGGGAAUCUUACGCAAUGGACGCAAGUCUGACGGAGCAACGCCGCGUGAGUGAAGAAGGUCUUCGGAUCGUAAAGCUCUGUUGUUAGAGAAGAACAGCGCAUAGAGUAACUGCUAUGCGUGUGACGGUAUCUAACCAGAAAGCCACGGCUAACUACGUG
rnacentral:rRNA from 1 species